UCGCCGCGGUAAUACGAAGGGGGCUAGCAUUGCUCGGAAUGACUGGGCGUAAAGGGCGCGUAGGCGGCUGACACAGUCAGAUGUGAAAUUCCUGGGCUCAACCUGGGGACUGCAUUGAGACGUGUUGGCUUGAGUGGAGAAGAGGGUCGUGGAAUUUCCAGUGUAGAGGUGAAACUCGUAGAUAUUGGAAAGAACACCGGUGGCGAAGGCGGCGACCUGGUCUUUAACUGACGCUGAGGCGCGAAAGCGUGGGGAGCAAACAGGAUUAGAUACCCCCGUAGUCCCUGUCUCUUAUACACAU
rnacentral:rRNA from 1 species